UACGUAGGUGGCAAGCGUUGUCCGGAUUUACUGGGUGUAAAGGGCGUGCAGCCGGAGAGACAAGUCAGAUGUGAAAUCCACGGGCUCAACUCGUGAACUGCAUUUGAAACUGUUUCCCUUGAGUGUCGGAGAGGUAAUCGGAAUUCCUUGUGUAGCGGUGAAAUGCGUAGAUAUAAGGAAGGACACCAGUGGCGAAGGCGGAUUACUGGACGAUAACUGACGGUGAGGUUCGAAAGCGUGGGUAGCAAACAGG
rnacentral:rRNA from 1 species